GACGAACGCGGCGGCGUGCUUAACACAUGCAAGUCGAACGAAGAGCGAUGGAAGCUUGCUUCUAUCAAUCUUAGUGGCGAACGGGUGAGUAACGCGUAAUCAACCUGCCCUUCAGAGGGGGACAACAGUUGGAAACGACUGCUAAUACCGCAUACGAUCUAAUCUCGGCAUCGAGGAUAGAUGAAAGGUGGCCUCUACAUGUAAGCUAUCACUGAAGGAGGGGAUUGCGUCUGAUUAGCUAGUUGGAGGGGUAACGGCCCACCAAGGCGAUGAUCAGUAGCCGGUCUGAGAGGAUGAACGGCCACAUUGGGACUGAGACACGGCCCAGACUCCUACGGGAGGCAGCAGUGGGGAAUCUUCCGCAAUGGACGAAAGUCUGACGGAGCAACGCCGCGUGAGUGAUGACGGCCUUCGGGUUGUAAAGCUCUGUUAAUCGGGACGAAAGGCCUUCUUGCGAAUAAGUGAAGAAAGGAAUUGACCGGUAACCCGGAAU
rnacentral:rRNA from 1 species